rnacentral:rRNA from 1 species
UGGGGAAUAUUGCGCAAUGGGGGCAACCCUGACGCAGCAACGCCGCGUGAAGGAUGAAGGUUUUCGGAUUGUAAACUUCUUUUGUCAAGGACGAAGAAAGUGACGGUACUUGACGAAUAAGCCACGGCUAACUACGUGCCAGCAGCCGCGGUAAUACGUAGGUGGCAAGCGUUGUCCGGAUUUACUGGGUGUAAAGGGCGAGUAGGCGGGUCUGCAAGUCAGAUGUGAAAUACCGGGGCUUAACUCCGGGGCUGCAUUUGAAACUGUAGAUCUUGAGUGAUGGAGAGGCAGGCGGAAUUCCCGGUGUAGCGAUGGAAUGCGUAGAUAUCGGGAGGAACACCAGUGGCGAAGGCGGCCUGCUGGACAUUAACUGACGCUGAGGAGCGAAAGCGUGGGGAGCAAACAGG